GGAAAGCAUAUAGAAUAAGAGGAGCUGAUCAAUAUACUUGAGCCUUCUGAAAUAUCUGGAGACAUGAACAUGAAGAGACCCUGCAUGGCCGCAAUGCUUCUAGUUUUUCUCCUCUUCACUAUGUGCAAUUAUGAAGUGGAGGCUGAGCGUAGAUGCGUGCUGUAUGGGACAGCACCGGGCGGUUGCCAGGCUGCUCCGUGUCAAGCCUUUUGUGACAAAUACUAUGGUGAUAAGCAUCCCGGGGGGGUUUGCAGUGGGAAUAAUUGCUUAUGUUUCUAUCGUUGUUAAAUCCCUAGAAGCCUUUGGCCCAGUGCCAGAGACAUCAGGACUUCUGUUCCAAAUGCAAUAAACUCUCCCUUCAAAUCAAAAGGGAGGUCUCUUUCGGGUUA